rnacentral:rRNA from 1 species
CCUANGGGAGGCAGCAGUAAGGAAUAUUGGACAAUGGCCGCAAGGCUGAUCCAGCCAUCCAGCGUGCAGGAAGAAGGCCCUAUGGGUUGUAAACUGCUUUUAUCAGGGAAUAAACCUCUGGAUUCACUCCGGAGCUGAAGGUACCUGAAGAAUAAGCACCGGCUAACUCCGUGCCAGCAGCCGCGGUAAUACGGAGGGUGCGAGCGUUAUCCGGAAUUACUGGGUUUAAAGGGUGCGUAGGCGGCUUUGUAAGUCAGGAGUGAAAUCCCCGGGCUUAACCUGGGAAUUGCGCUUGAAACUAGCGGGCUUGAGUGUGGCAGAGGGGGGUGGAAUUCCACGUGUAGCAGUGAAAUGCGUAGAGAUGUGGAGGAACACCGAUGGCGAAGGCAGCCCCCUGGGUCAACACUGACGCUCAUGCACGAAAGCGUGGGGAGCAAACAGGAUUAGAUACCCUANUANUC